rnacentral:rRNA from 1 species
UACGUAGGGUGCGAGCGUUGUCCGGAAUUAUUGGGCGUAAAGAGCUCGUAGGCGGUGUGUCGCGUCGGCCGUGAAAACCUGGGGCUCAACCCUGGAAGGCCGGUGGAAACUGUCGGGCUAGAGUCCGGAAGAGGCGAGUGGAAUUCCCGGUGUAGCGGUGAAAUGCGCAGAUAUCAGGAAGAACACCCGUGGCGAAGGCGGCUCUCUGGGACGGUACUGACGCUGAGACGCGAAAGCGUGGGGAGCGAACAGG